rnacentral:rRNA from 1 species
UGGGGAAUAUUGCACAAUGGGCGCAAGCCUGAUGCAGCCAUGCCGCGUGUAUGAAGAAGGCCUUCGGGUUGUAAAGUACUUUCAGUCGGGAGGAAGGUGGUAAGGUUAAUAACCUUAUCAAUUGACGUUACCGACAGAAGAAGCACCGGCUAACUCCGUGCCAGCAGCCGCGGUAAUACGGAGGGUGCAAGCGUUGUCCGGAUUUAUUGGGCGUAAAGCGAGCGCAGGCGGUUUCUUAAGUCUGAUGUGAAAGCCCCCGGCUCAACCGGGGAGGGUCAUUGGAAACUGGGAGACUUGAGUGCAGAAGAGGAGAGUGGAAUUCCAUGUGUAGCGGUGAAAUGCGUAGAUAUAUGGAGGAACACCAGUGGCGAAGGCGGCUCUCUGGUCUGUAACUGACGCUGAGGCUCGAAAGCGUGGGGAGCAAACAGG